GACGAACCGAGCGACCGUUGUUCGGAAUCACUGGGCUUAAAGGGCGCGUAGGCGGGCUGUCAAGUCUGGGGUGAAAUCCCGCGGCUCAACCGUGGAACUGCCUUAGAUACUGACGGCCUCGAGGGAGAUAGGGGCGAGCGGAACUGUGAGUGGAGCGGUGAAAUGCGUUGAUAUUCACAGGAACGCCGGUGGCGAAGGCGGCUCGCUGGAUCUUUUCUGACGCUGAGGCGCGAAAGCUAGGGGAGCAAACGGG
rnacentral:rRNA from 1 species